rnacentral:rRNA from 1 species
UACGUAGGGUGCGAGCGUUAAUCGGAAUUACUGGGCGUAAAGCGUGCGCAGGCGGUUCGUUAAGUCAGAUGUGAAAGCCCCGGGCUCAACCUGGGAACUGCAUUUGAAACUGGCGGGCUUGAAUGUGGCAGAGGGGGGUGGAAUUCCGCGUGUAGCAGUGAAAUGCGUAGAGAUGCGGAGGAACACCGAUGGCGAAGGCAGCCCCCUGGGCCAACACUGACGCUCAGGCACGAAAGCGUGGGGAGCAAACAGG